rnacentral:rRNA from 2 species
GGCGGUGUGCCUAAUACAUGCAAGUCGAACGCGUUGGCCCAAUUGAUUGAUGGUGCUUGCACCUGAUUGAUUUUGGUCGCCAACGAGUGGCGGACGGGUGAGUAACACGUAGGUAACCUGCCCAGAAGCGGGGGACAACAUUUGGAAACAGAUGCUAAUACCGCAUAACAACGUUGUUCGCAUGAACAACGCUUAAAAGAUGGCUUCUCGCUAUCACUUCUGGAUGGACCUGCGGUGCAUUAGCUUGUUGGUGGGGUAACGGCCUACCAAGGCGAUGAUGCAUAGCCGAGUUGAGAGACUGAUCGGCCACAAUGGGACUGAGACACGGCCCAUACUCCUACGGGAGGCAGCAGUAGGGAAUCUUCCACAAUGGGCGCAAGCCUGAUGGAGCAACACCGCGUGAGUGAAGAAGGGUUUCGGCUCGUAAAGCUCUGUUGUUAAAGAAGAACACGUAUGAGAUUAACUGUUCAUACGUUGACGGUAUUUAACCAGAAAGUCACGGCUAACUACGUGCCAGCAGCCGCGGUAAUACGUAGGUGGCAAGCGUUAUCCGGAUUUAUUGGGCGUAAAGAGAGUGCAGGCGGUUUUCUAAGUCUGAUGUGAAAGCCUUCGGCUUAACCGGAGAAGUGCAUCGGAAACUGGAUAACUUGAGUGCAGAAGAGGGUAGUGGAACU